CCUACGGGAGGCAGCAGUGAGGAAUAUUGGUCAAUGGACGAGAGUCUGAACCAGCCAAGUAGCGUGAAGGAUGACUGCCCUAUGGGUUGUAAACUUCUUUUAUAAAGGAAUAAAACGAGGCACGUGUGCCUUUUUGCAUGUACUUUAUGAAUAAGGCUCGGCUAACUCCGUGCCAGCAGCCGCGGUAAUACGGAGGAUCCGAGCGUUAUCCGGAUUUAUUGGGUUUCAAGGGAGCGUAGAUGGGUUGUUAAGUCAGUUGUGAAAGUUUGCGGCUCAACCGUAAAAUUGCAGUUGAUACUGGCAGUCGUGAGUACAGUUGAGGUAGGCGGAAUUCGUGGUGUAGCGGUGAAAUGCUUAGAUAUCACGAAGAACCCCGAUUGCGAAGGCAGCUUACUAAACUGUGACUGACAUUGAUGCUCGAAAGUGUGGGUAUCAAACAGGAUUAGAUACCCGAGUAGUC
rnacentral:rRNA from 1 species